UUUGAUGUUUCCAAUUUCAUGUGUGACUAUGUGGGACUAUAUGCAUGAGUGCACGGCACUGGAGGUGGCCAGCAGAGUGCACAGGACCCCUGGUACUGAGAUUGCAGUCAAUUGUGAGCCAGAGGAUGUGGGUGAUGGGAACCGAACUCCGGCCCUCCUUAAGGGCUGAGUGUCUCUCGGAUCCUAGGCCAGACCUUUGAAAUGUGGAUAUGAUGGAAAAUUCCAAGGCUGCUCUGUGCUGUAACAGUGAGGGCACCCUAAGCAACUAUGAAAAAUAAACAGUCACAAAAAUCACAGAUGACAAACCAACCUCACCGGGUGCAGAUCCAAAAGCAAACAACAGAAUUUAGCUUCCGAGGAACCAAGCCGAGAAGGUGAAAAUGCAUGUUUUAUAAGAUAAUCAAAGCACCGUGCCCACCGCGACUGCAGAAGGGGCCUUUUCAGAAAGAGAGCCACGGGUUGCUUUGAGGGGCAAGGAUGAGGGACAGAAAAGAUGCUCUGCAUAAUGAAAGGGCAUGCCAGCCAACAGAUGAGAAUUCCCUUGGACAUGAAAUGCAAUCAAGUCAAGACCCAUAUUUUAUCUCUGCUGGAGGCAGUCUUAUUUGUUAGUAAAGUGCUGGGAUAAUCAGCCAUUGUUCUCCCUGCCAGGACUGUCAAAACAAAUACCAGCUCCUUUGCUCUGUGCUAAAAACGGCUAGCCUUUGGAGAGCAGCUGGGCAGAAAGCAAUCUUGUUCCAUUUCAGUACGUUUUCCCCAAGUAUUAGGCUGUCCGAAUGCAGCCCACAUCAAAGCAUCCCCAGCACCCACUGCAGGGACAAGGCUGUCACGAGAACACUUCCUAUCGAGCAGGACACACAAUGCAGUCAUGCUAACCUCAUCUCUCCCCAUCCAAAGAAGGAAAGACUUCGAAGCAUUCAAAGGCUACCCGAAGCCUCAUUCUUUAAGGAGCCUUUGAUAAACCUAAGGUUCCUCAUCUGAAGACCCCUGGUGGCGCUGACAUCCGGCUUUCCUUUCAGCUGUGAAAAACCCUGGAACUCAGAGCUUUCAACUGUGAGCAUCUUCUCACUAGGGAGAAGUCUUUUGUGUGGAGGACCUCCCUGCAGAUGGAGCACCAUGAAUCAUGGCCAGAACUGAGGCACAUGCCUGUGUCUACAGCAGUCACUGAAAAGCAGGACAGGGUCACACUGCAAACACUGGAGUAAUUUGUUCUUUUGUCCUCCUGUGCUGAGGGCGGAGCCUGAGGUCUUUGCAUACUAGGUAAGUUGCUGUACUGCUAAGCUACAUCCUCAGCUCAGAGGGAUUGGGCUCUAAACCUAGGCAUGAGAUGGUCCUUCUAUGACUGACAUGGAGAAGCAAGGGACAGCCACGUGGGUGUGCAGUGUUGUCAGCUAAGAAUAAAGGAGAGCAAGGCUGUUUUGCAAGCCACCAUUUGUGUCUUCUUCAACUAGGACAUGGGAUAAGUCUGAGUAAAUGGAACUUUCAGCUUCACCGGGGAAUAUGCAAAUUU
rnacentral:lncRNA from 1 species